rnacentral:lncRNA from 1 species
UGAAUUUACAGUAUUAGUCCCAGAUUAUUAUUACAAUGUGUGGAAAAAAAACACAAAUAAAUGACAAUAUGCAUUUUAGCUUAAAAAUUGCACAACUUCACAACAUUGAAAUUACAUUCUAAGAUAACAAAAUUCUGACAGGGUUAUCACUGUUAAAUAUUUACUUAAUUCACCUCAAAGGGGAAGAGAAUAUAUAUUGUAUAAAUAAUAUGGUCAUAAAUCAUGUUCUGAAAGCAAAAAAAAUGUGAUCAUUGGUGAGUUAAAUAGCAUAUAUAUUUAUAUAAAUAAACAGAUGUGGUGUGAUUGCUUAUGAGACAACUUUCUACAAGAGAUCAAAUGUCACAGAAUUUAACAAUUAGAGGUCAAUGUAUGGCCUUCAACAACGAGUGAACCAUGUACCAACAUUAUUUGAAAUCCAGCAUAAAUCUAACCACAUCUCUUUAUUAUUAUUUUCAUUGAAAAAUUAACUUCAAGAAUAGUUUUUUGCUAUGUAUGUUGAGCUGAAAACAACGGCAUUGUCUGAUAUCAUUUUCAUUGAAAUUAAUUUUAACACAGUAUGAAGCAUACACCUUUUCGCUAUUUGUCCGCCAUUACUGGAUAUUACACAGGUUCCCUUAAAAACUUGACGUCACAAAACAAAAUAUCUGACGCCACAAUGGAAAAGUGAUUGUUGUAUGCGUCAAAAGUUCAAGCGGCCGGGUCAGCCAGGAUUAGUGAUAAAGUGUUUUCCAUUAAUAUAGCCAACUAUAUAUAUUUAAAUAAGUUAUUCAGAAUUCGUAUUACAAACAUUCAAAUACAAUAAAUAUGCCAUGAUAAAUUAAUUCUUUUAACAACUUUUAAAUAGUGAAGUUUCAAAAUAUUUCAAAAUCAAACAAAUAAU